UAAAGUGGCGACCGGGUGAGUAACACGUGACUAACCUACCCUUGAAUGGGGAAUAACCUUCCGAAAGGAGGGCUAAUACCGCAUAAAGUCCUAAGGAUGAAACGCCUAAGGACCAAAGGAGCAAUUCGUUUAAGGAGGGGUCGCGGUUGAUUAGCUAGUUGGCGGGGUAAUGGCCCACCAAGGCGAUGAUCAAUAGCCGGCCUGAGAGGGCGCACGGCCACACUGGAACUGAAACACGGUCCAG
rnacentral:rRNA from 1 species